AUUUCAGAGUAGUUUUGAUUUGCAUUUCUCUAAUUGCUAGAGAUGUUGAACAUUUUUCAUAUAUUUGUUGAUUAAUUGUAUAUCUUCUUCUAAGAAAUGUCUGUUCAUUUCCUUGGCCCAUUUAUUGAUUGGGUUAUUUGUGUUUUUGGUGUUAAGGCUUUUGAUUUCUUUAUAUAUCCUGGAGAUUAGUAAUCUGUCUUAUGUGCAAGUGGUAAAGAUUUGCUCCCAUUCUGUAGGCUCUCUAUUCACCCCACUGAUUGUUCCUUUUGCUGAGAAGAAGUUUUUUAGUUUGAAUCCAUUCCAUUUGUUAAUUCUUGGGUUUAAUUUUUGCACUACAGGAAUUUUACUAAGAAAGUAGGGCCUAAUCCGACAUGAUGAUGAGUUUUGGGCCUACUUUUUCUUCCAUUAGGUUCAAGGUCUCUGGUUUAAUUCCUGUGUCCUUGAUCCACUUUGAGUUGAGUUUGUGCAUGGUGAGAAAUAGAGGUUUAAUUUCAUUUUGUUAAAUGUGGACUUCAGUUUUCUCAGCAAGAUUUGUUGAAGAGACUAUCUUUUCUCCAGUGUACAUUUUUGGCACCUUUGUCUAAUGUAAGAUAAUUGUAAUUAUAUAGGUUAGUCUCUGUGUCCUCUGUUCUGUACCAUUUGUCUACAAGUCUAUUUUGGUGCCAAUAGUAUGCUAUUUUAGUUACUAUUGCUCUGUAGUAUAGUUUUAGGUCUGGAAUAGUAAUGCCACCUGCUUCAUUCUUUUUGCUAAGGAUUGCUUUGCCU
rnacentral:lncRNA from 1 species